AGCCGCCGCUGUAACACAUGCAAGUCGAGCGGCAGCGCGACUAGUAGCAAUACUAGUUGGCGGCGAGCGGCGGACGGGUGAGUAACACGUGGGAACCUGCCCAGAAGUGGGGGAUAACUAAUGGAAACGUUAGCUAAUACCGCAUACAUUCGGGAGAAGAAAGCUGCAGCAAUGUAGCGCUUUUGGAGGGGCCUGCGUCCGAUUAGCUAGUUGGUGAGGUAAUGGCUCACCAAAGCGAUGAUCGGUAACUGGUCUGAGAGGACGACCAGUCACACUGGGACUGAGACACGGCCCAGACUCCUACGGGAGGCAGCAGUGGGGAAUCUUGGACAAUGGGGGAAACCCUGAUCCAGCGAUGCCGCGUGAGUGAAGAAGGCCCUCGGGUCGUAAAGCUCUUUAGGCUGGGAAGAAGUGUGUGAGAGGAAAUGCUCACAUAUUGACGGUACCAGCAGAAUAAGCACCGGCAAACUCUGUGCCAGCAGCCGCCGUAA
rnacentral:rRNA from 1 species